GUUGGGUGACUUGAUCACUUAGUAACGUAGCUAACGCGCGAAGUUGACCGCCUGGGGAGUACGGUCGCAAGAUUAAAACUCAAAGGAAUUGANCGGGGGCCCGCACAAGCGGUGGAUGAUGUGGAUUAAUUCGAUGCAACGCGAAAAACCUUACCUACCCUUGACAUGCCAGGAAUCUCGCAGAGAUGUGAGGGUGCUCGAAAGAGAACCUGGACACAGGUGCUGCAUGGCUGUCGUCAGCUCGUGUCGUGAGAUGUUGGGUUAAGUCCCGCAACGAGCGCAACCCUUGCCAUUAGUUGCUACAUUUAGCUGGGCACUCUAAUGGGACUGCCGGUGACAAACCGGAGGAAGGUGGGGAUGACGUCAAGUCCUCAUGGCCCUUAUGGGUAGGGCUUCACACGUCAUACAAUGGUCGGUACAGAGGGUUGCCAACCCGCGAGGGGGAGCCAAUCCCAGAAAGCCGAUCGUAGUCCGGAUUGUAGUCUGCAACUCGACUGCAUGAAGUCGGAAUCGCUAGUAAUCGCGGAUCAGCAUGUCGCGGUGAAUACGUUCCCGGGCCUUGUACACACCGCCCGUCACACCAUGGGAGUGGGUUUCACCAGAAGUAGGUAGUCUAACCGNCAAGGGGGACGCUUACCACGGUGAGAUUCAUGACUGGGGUGAAGUCGUAANNAGGUACC
rnacentral:rRNA from 1 species